AUGAGUUUUUCCUUCGGGGUUAUCAGGGGGCAUUACGGACUAUUCAAACUCAAUCCACAGUUUCUCUGUUGUUCCAACCAAACAACUCUCAGCUUUCUCACAGUUCUCAGCUCACAGCUGCUUUUCCACAGUUCACAGCAGCUUUUCCAAAAUCUUCAGCUGAACCAAUCACAACCUAAUGAUUUGAUUUGCCGCUCCAUACUAAUUUUACACUUACUAAAGUCUAAUUCUAUCCCUUUUGAACAGGGCAUCAACAUUGUCAAUUGGAGAGGCUUGGAGCUGCUUCUGCAUCCUCAGGAGAGCAGCAAACAAGAUAUGGAUUCAGUGCCACUCACUGCUGAAGCUAUUGCCUUUACCGAGAAAAAGAUGGACAUGACUCUGGAGGAUAUUAUUAAGAUGUCAAAGAAAAAAAUUCCUGCAGGCAAGAAAGCCCCUAGACAGCAGGUAAAAAAGCGUCCUUUUCAGAAUGGUAAUAGUAAUCAAGGGAAGGCAAAGGUUCAGCGAUUUCAUGAGUCUAGGUCAUCUAUACGACAAGGUGUUCUGGCACAAAGGAGGUCAAAUCUUGAUGCAAAUCAGUUCCAAAUCACAAAGCAGGCUGCAAACAAGGCUGCUACCAUGCCUGUGCGUGGUAGGGCUGACAGAUGGAACAAACCAAGUGGCCCGUCUACCUCAGCACAGAGGAGGCCCGUAAGCGAGGCUCUUCAGAACAGCAAGGGUAAGGAGAUGCAGAAUGAGCCUCCAAGGACAAUGGAUGCGCUCUUUGCACAGAUGAAGCAGCAGCGGAUGAGGAUCAUGCCACCGCAGCAAUCAAAUGCUACUACCCAUGGCCAUCAGUUUAACCAGCAGCGGCGUGGUCAGCAGCAGCGGCGAGGCAGAGGGGGAUACGGUGUCCGCGGUGGUGGUGGUAACCAAUGA
rnacentral:rRNA from 1 species